AUUGAACGCUGGCGGCAGGCCUAACACAUGCAAGUCGAGCGGAGCGGCGGACGGGUGAGUAAUGCCUAGGAAUCUGCCUGAUAGUGGGGGAUAACGUCCGGAAACGGGCGCUAAUACCGCAUACUAUCAGAUGAGCCUAGGUCGGAUUAGCUAGUAGGUGGGGUAACGGCUCACCUAGGCGACGAUCCCUAGCUGGUCUGAGAGGAUGACCAGCCACCCUGGAACUGAGACACGGUCCAGACUCCUACGGGAGGCAGCAGUGAGGAAUAUUGCACAAUGGGCGCAAGCCUGAUGGAGCCAUGCCGCGAGUAUGAGGAGGGCCUUCGGGUUGUAAAGUACUAUCAGCGAGGAGGCGUUACUCGCAGAAGAAGCACCGGCUAACUCCGUGCCAGCAGCCGCGGUAAUAC
rnacentral:rRNA from 1 species